UACGUAGGGGGCAAGCGUUGUCCGGAUUUAUUGGGCGUAAAGAGCGUGUAGGCGGCCAGACAGGUCCGUUGUGAAAACUGGAGGCUCAACCUCCAGACGUCGAUGGAAACCGUCUGGCUAGAGUCCGGAAGAGGAGAAUGGAAUUCCUGGUGUAGCGGUGAAAUGCGCAGAUAUCAGGAAGAACACCCGUGGCUAAGGCGGUUCUCUAGUACGGUACUGACGCUGAGACGCGAAAGCGUGGGGAGCGAACAGG
rnacentral:rRNA from 1 species